CUCCUGACCUCAGGUGAUCCACCUGCCUAAGCCUCCCUGGGAUUACAGGUGUGAGCCACCAUGCCCAGCCAUCUUUUCUCCUCUUAAUCUGUCCAUCAUCACUUAAUUUGUGAACCCCCUACCACUGGAUUCAAGUUGCAAGAAGAAAAAUUUACCCCCCAAUAGUUUCCUCUCUGCUUACUGUCAGCAGCAUUCUCUGUCGUGACUACAAAAUUAUCUAUUCCUGUAUGUGUGUGUGCACACACGCAUGUGUGUAUUUACAGAGACCUGGCAGCCCAGUGGGUUGUGACUGAAUGCCUUUAGGAAUUUCCUUGGGGAAUCAAAGCUUAUUAAAGUAGAAACACUUCCCAGAAGAUCAGAAAUCUAUCUUCAAACCAAGCUUGUUCCCCUGCUUAUUGCAUCAUCAGACCAGGCGGCUUAAAAUAAAUAAUCUAUUCAAAGCGAACCAAUUACAAAACUCACCUUUCAACUCUUAGUUUUGGGAAAUGGACUGGAAGGACUCCUUCAAUGGUAACUUGACCAUGCUGUCUCUCUGAUGACAUCGUCUUGGAAUGCUGAUAAACUUCUUUUAGUAUACACUUUAGGGAGAAGACAGUUGUCUAAAUUAAUGACAAUCCUUGACAGUUGUGAGCUUUUGUGUCUGGUGGACUGGAAUCCUUUCCUAACUCAAUCACUUUUUAGUUUUGUAAUCUUGAGCAAUCCUUUAGCCUUUUUGAGGCUGCCUCAGUUGGCAAGGUGGGAGAAAUAACACUUAACUUGAAAGAUUUGGGGGGAGCAUAGGAUGAGAUCAAUGUAUGCACUGGUUCUUUUCUUUCCGUCUUCUCUUUAAAGUUCUUAUGAAAUUAUUUUGGCCACAAAAUUAUUAAUAAUACUUUAUAGGCAGCAAAUGACACAGCUGUUCCCCCAUUAUAACACACACCAUCCUCCAGUUACUUGAUAUUCUUCACCUAUUUUCCUGCUUCCCUUAUUCUGGAAAAAAGAUCGUACACACUUUAUGUGGACAGAAAACAGUUUCUCCUAUGAAAACCAAAUAAAAAAGAAAAGCAGAACGUAACGUUUAUUUUUGGCCAAUUACUAAAUUUUAAAAACCUUCCCUCUUUGAUUUCAUGAAGGUUUUCUAGUGUUCCCUUUAGCUUGUGUCUGAUAUGGAGUCUGGAUCCCUUUCUCUGUCUUUUUCUUGCAUGUCUAAAUCUCAUUAUAGCUGGCUCUAUCACCAUGACCUGAGCCACCCUGAGUCUGGACUGACUGCAUCAGGCAGUAAACAGGCCAAGAUCUUUCUGGUCAGAGCUUGGCAGCACGAAUUUAGGAAGAUGCCAACAUUGUUGCCAAAUGGAUGGCUCAUAUUUUCCAUCUUUGUCUUUGUGGAUGCCAGUCAUGUGUUCCCUGUGGUGCCCAAAUUGUGCAACAGACACUGGAGGCUCUGCGCCAGCACAAGGGCCUCGGAUGGGGUUAGGCCUUCCUGAUGGGCAUAGGCCUGGAUUGAGCCAGUGGAUAUAUGUUCAGCCUGAAUAAUCAGCUAUGGUGGGCUAGACAAAGGCUUGGCUGGGUAUAUGAAAUCAGAAGCGAAGGCUGAGAGCGGCCCUAGGAAAGGAAAGAUGGGAUGGGUCAGAAGGGGGAACUUGGGUUGGCACUGAUUGUUGAGGUGGGUAUGGCCACCAGGCUGGGCUCAGAAGGAUAGAAGUUGAGGAGUCAGGUAAGGCCACAGCUUGGAUAUAGCUAAAGACAAUAACUAAGAUCAUUCCAGAUGCUUCUCAAGGGAGAUGUGGUGCUGAUGGAGGCUUCCAUUCACUGAAGCAUGGCUUAGAGUUUCUCCCAGCAGCUCCGCUAUGGGGAAAUCAAUCUACCUGUUUUCUCUAAGACCUGGUGUGCAGUGGGCCAGGGCAAGGAAAGGGGGAUACUGGUUCCAUUGGAACAAAAGCUGAGUAUUCUUUGGGUCAGGGCCACUGAGUCUGGGUAAGCAGUGCUGUCUCCUGAGCUGGACUCUGAGGGAAUCUAGAUUUCUAUUCAUUCUUAGGGCUUGGAGAAAGGUCCCUGCCAUGCGAUAUCUAAUCAGAAUGUGGAUAUGAGAAAAUUAGUGAUUUAGGAAAAGUGUUCUUCAAUUUACAUCUGUAUCCAUGUGAGAAGGAAAGAGGAAGAGGAAGAGGAAGAAGAAAAAGUAGAAGAAGGAGAAGGAGGAGGAGGAGGAAGAAUCACUGUCCUAGAGUAUAUCAACAAUUGUGAAACCCCUAAAUCAAUUUAUUAGCCCCAGAUCUGGAGCUUCUCUUGACCUGUAGUUGGUCCCUCCACCUGGUUUGUGGCUUAUAGAACCCUAGGGAUGGCAUAUAGUGGUCAGGGGGAGGAGAGCAGGUGAAUGAUGGGGAGGCACUACCAUGAGAUCUUCAGCCCCCUGUUGAAGGGGUACAUAUCUCUCAGGACGCCCCAACAUCUUCCAGAACUCUUUCCAGAACUUAUUCUGAAACUCUUCUGAGUCCUCUAAGCAUCCCUAGGAAGGACGUUUCUGGUCUAGAUAGCAGGUGAGAUCCUUCCUUUGCUUUAGAGAAAUGAGGUCAGGAAGCUUCUAUGACCUCUUUGGUAGUAAUGUCCACACAGAGAGUAAAACGAGGUUGUUGGAUUGCAGGAGGCAGGGCUUGGAUGUCCUGGAAGAGUGCCACAUCUUUCCUUAGAGCUGCUUUUUGUUCUGAUACUGAGGUGGCCAUCACUGGCCCCAGACCCUGUGGCUCAGCCACGUCCCAACAAAGUGUCAUUCUAGAGGGAGAGACGGCCUUCCUGAAUGACUACAUUCUAGUUCCUGAAGCCUGCCCUUGACUUUUUCUUGAUUAACUUCCCUGAGACUUUAGGAACAUUAUAUGCACUAAGUACAUAAAUUAAAAGUCUGCAUGUAAUAGUCUCUUAAUAGGCAAAUAAGUCUUAGUCCCAAAAUGGAAAAAUAUUGCCCUACAGUACGUCUGAAAAAAACACACAAGCAAACCUGAGCCUAAACCAAACAAAUAAACACCCUUGGCGUCUUCAAACUUUGCUAUAAACAAACAAGAGACCUUGCAAUUCUCAGCAGAAAUGUCUUGUGCACAUCAAAGCAAGAUAUAGGUGCUUAAAGCUUGUCAUGGGUACUGUAAUACCUUCUGGAUGUGAGGCUACGUGCAAUGUAGGGUGAGGGGAAAUGUGUAAUAUCUGUGGCCCAGGCGAAAAUGACCUCAUCUAUCUGUAUCAUCUCCACCCACAAAGCGCUUCUUAGAUUGAAUUAUCCAGGUGAUUGCUUUAUCUCUCCACCAUGCAUUCCACAUAUAAAAUUAUCUUAACAUUAAACACUGUGCCAUUCUUAAAAAUGGAACCCAAGCUCUUAUAGCAUUUUACAAAUCUAUAGUUUGAUUUGUACUUCCUAGAAUUAUUUUUUUAUAACAUCGCUUUUUAAAAAAUUCUCAAGAGUGUUGAUUUGCGAGGCUGAGCUCCCUCAGGAAUAGACUGACCUCCAGCAACUGUUCAUUCCACCCCUAGUAGGAGCUUGAAUAAUGACUGAGUGACAAAGUGUCCCAUUCAGUUAUUAUUCAACUAUAUUAAAUUGCUAAAGUUGGUAAUUGGAGCAUAUCUUAUUACAAAGGCAAAAGUUCAACAUUUUUCCCCAGGCACAAUAGGCUUGCACAUUUGAAAACUUCUGGUCUGGUAAGGAAUAAGAUGUCAGGGCAUGGAGCAUGCAACAAAUUAAACAGGGGAAAAUAUAUUAGCCAAACCCAGGCACAAUUACCAAGCAUUACUUUGAAGAUAUUUACCAAUCUCAAGCUCUUUUAAUAGGGAUGGGAGAGAUAAAGUAGAAGGGGAUCUUGAAAAUAAAUCAGUAUUCCUAAGCUCUAGGAGGCUGACACAAUUGAAAACUGUCAUUUAAAAUAUACUGGGGGCUAAUAAUAGAAGGUAAGUACAGGUUAUUUACAACCUACUGUUUAUCCACAUUGGUUGGCACUCAUGCUGUAUCAAUUAUUGAAUAUUUUGAAAUCUGAUUUUAUUAAAACUCAUUUGGAUCUACAGUUAUAGGCUAUGUAUUGGAAGUAUCAUUUGGGGUCUGACUGAGAUGUCCAAGUUUUUCUAAAAUGGUACUGCACAGAAGGAGCAGUUUUACUGAGACAAUAGGAGCUUUGGGUACCUGUGUGAAUGUGGUCACACCAAGUUACUGCUUCAAAGAACAAGAAACGAAUGCUGUGAGAACUGCAGAGACCACAGCCUAUAGUGGUAUUCCCCAAAUGGGCCUGAUCAGAAGACUCAUUUGGGGGCAGUUGUUUAAUAAUUUAGAUUCCCAGGUACCUUCUCUGGAGAUUAUGAUUACUAGGUCUGUCUAGGGGAGGCCUAGGAAUCAGUAUUUUUGACAGUAGUCCCAGUGAUUCUUUUGAUAAGACAAAUUUGGGAAACAACUAUUGACAUUCAUAAUGCUACCAUUCAUUCAUUAUUUUAAUUAUUUCACAAUUACUGUGGUAUUUUUCAAAUAUGAACCUAGAUUCCCCACAUAAAAUCACCUGGGCUGUUUGAUUAAGAUCCUGGGCUGCAGCCCCAUUCCAAACCUACCAGAUAGAUCUCCAGGGAUAAGAUCCAGAAAUCUGCAUUGUAAAUGAGCCUCCCAAGUGAUUCUUAGGUAAUAAAGUUAGGGAAUACUUGCAGUGUGUGUCAAGCACAUCGUAUGUUUCUUCAAGGUGUCCAUUCUCAGUCAAUAGGCAACAACCACUUCAUUUAAACACCUACUAAGGCAGGAAUCAGUGAAUGACUUGUGUAGAGGUGAUGUAAAGUGUGAAGGGAGAGUGGCAGCUCUUCCUGCUUUAAACCAGCCAUCCACAGGCUUGUGAAAGCAAGAAGGGAGGCUACCCUUCAGACAGAGUGGCCAGGUUUUGGGGCACACGGGAGAGGCAAGUGAGGCCCAGGCCCUUUAAGACUCUGGAGUCUGUGGAUGUGGCCAACCAAUGCCUGGCUGGACCCAAAAACCCCACGACCUCAGGGUCAAGGGCUAGGGCACUGGUGAGAGCUCUCACUCGGAAUUUCCUGCUGGAGUGCUAGACCUGCAGCACAUAAAUAUACUUUACUUUUCUUUCUUCUCCCAUUUCCUUAGUUUUGUUUGUGGAACAGUAUUGGAGCCUUCCCAGGCAUUGUUUCAUUCUGACACCAUAACAAGGUCUGCUCCCUAUUCACUUUCUCAGUCAGAAGCCUGUGGAGUGUUCAUUGUUCCUGUGGAUUUUUACUGAUGCACAAUUGUGUUUAAAAUAACUUGUCCGAAGUACGUCUGGAAAAUAAUAAGUACAUUUAUUUUAAGUAAAUGUUGGCAGGUGAUUCCAAUUCUGAUUUUCUUUGAUUGCUCAUGCAAAUGAAAAUUUAGGUGAAUGCCCCUCUGGUUUCAAAUGGUAAGAGUAACAAUAACAGUAAUAAAUAAGGUACUCAAGAACUUUGAGGGAUUGUUAACUCUAGCAUAGGAUUUUGAGUAAAAAAUCGGAAUGGACCUCAAUUUCCUCAUCUGUAAAAUGGGAAUCAUAAGACCUGCCAUAGCUACCUUACUGGGUUGCUGAAAGUCCAGUAAGUCUAUAGUAUUGAUGCUUGGUGAACUAUAUAUAAACUUUUUACUUUACACACACAUUGGUUGUUGGUUUUAAUAAUUUUUUUUCUUGAUACUUUUUUGCCCUCUGGCUUUAGAUGUCAUUGAAACAUUUUUACACAGCAUCAGUCAACCUAAAAUAAAGCAUUGAAAACUCACAGGAAUUUGGGUAAAAUUUGCUUAUCAUUGCAAUUCCCUCCAUUACAGAGAAAAUUGCUUGCACCAAGAUAUUUUAUUUGUUAAGGUCUGAGAAGGCGGAAGUAUGAUCCAAAUAGCAAAGGUCCCAGUGGCAAAUGAAAGGCACUUGGAAACUAUGGUGCAUUGUUCUGUUCUUCUGGAAGGCAAAACACUGCCGGGACGAGGACGGAGCCAUUCCAAGUGGGUGAUGAAAUUUACUUUAUUGACAUUAUCAAUAAGGAUGUAUUUAUGGGAAACAAACAUGAAGUAUAGCUCACACUUACAGGAUUUGGCAGAUGAGGAAACUGAGGCACAAAAAGGUGAAGUCCUGAGCUCACAGUCAUGCAACCAGCAGGUGGUGAAACACACCUCCAAGCUGCCUGCCUCCUAAGCAUCAAGCUUUGUGGCCCAGGAUCUACUUCAUGCUCCAAAUAUUCAUGGACCUUCCCAGGACCUCAACAAAACAAAACCAUGAAGAAAAACCUUGACAUGAACCCCAAAAAAACCCAGUCAGCAAUAUUUUAAGUUAAAUUUUGAAACAAAUCCAAACGGGUUCCUCCCCAUAAAUCUACCAGUAAAUUGUGCAGAAUCAGAACUGAAGCCAUGCCCUUUCUUAAAGUAUUGAAUUAGAAUAAAUGAGAACAUCUAAAUAUUUUCCAAAUUCAUAUUCCAGUUAUAAUAUUCAAGUUUCUUAGUUUCUCUCUGUUCACAUUCAACAUGAAAUAGUCCCAUUAGUCAGUAGCAAGAGCUGCAACAUUUCUACAGGUACUAAAGGAUGUGAUCAGAGCAGGGAAGAUGGCCAACAAGAUGAUGCCACUCUAGCGGGUGCCCAUCCAAAUCAUAACCCAUGAAUACUGCGGCUUUAUUAUCUUGGACAACAGAAAGCUGAUCUUGUAAUUGGAUGAUCACCCCUGCUUGCAUGCUUUCGAGUAGUUACGUAUGACAAAAGGAGCUACUGGUUUUGUGAUGAUGGGUUUCUGGGUAAACCCUAGAUGCAGAAGCAGCUUUUAAGCAUAGCAGAGCAAGAGUCAAAUGGUUCUGAAAAAAGUUUUAACUCUGAGAUGACUUCUCCCCGCUUCUUUCACUCUACCCUCUCAAUCCUAGAGCAAGUGAGCAGAGUAGGUAAAGCUGUUUCCUCCAGAAAGAUGAUCCAUAUUUUAAACAGCUCUGUGAAUGGGGCACUAAGACUCAGAAGAUCUGGUUUUCAGUUCGCAUUCUGCCUUUAACUGGUCUUGAAAGUUUGGGCAACUCAAUUAUCUCAUGGAGUCAGUAUUUGCAUCUGUACAGUGGGGAUAUGAAUACCUGUCUUACCUACACGGAGCUGUAAGAGCAACAGAAUGUGAGCUGGCAUGAUGUUAUUAUAUGUAUCACCUUGGUUAUUUUAAAACAUGCUUGAUGUAUUAGC
rnacentral:lncRNA from 1 species